UACGAAGGGGGCUAGCGUUGUUCGGAAUCACUGGGCGUAAAGGGCGCGUAGGCGGCUUUAUAAGUCGGGGUGAAAGCCUGUGGCUCAACCACAGAAUUGCCUUCGAUACUGUAGAGCUUGAGACCGGAAGAGGUAAGUGGAACUGCGAGUGUAGAGGUGAAAUUCGUAGAUAUUCGCAAGAACACCAGUGGCGAAGGCGGCUUACUGGUCCGGUUCUGACGCUGAGGCGCGAAAGCAUGGGGAGCGAACAGG
rnacentral:rRNA from 1 species